UCAACUUUGAAAAAAAGCACUUUUUUGAAAAAAAGUGCUUCUAGGAUUGGAGAAGCUUGGCCAAACAGGCUAUUAACCUCCUCAUCCAAGCCCGCUUGCGCAUAAGCGCUAACGAUGUUUAGGGUGCACUCUCCAACCACUAACUUAAUAGAAAUUAAUCUAUAUUCACCCGCCUAACCUCUACCACAGACUCUCUAAGUUCCCUAUCAACCAAGAUACCCACUCCAUUCUUGCCCUUCAUGACUCCGGAAUACCACAACUUUGACUCCUGCUCACCCUGUCUACAUUUUCUUUGAACCUUAAUAAGUGAGGUGAGUUUGACACAAGUCUGAUGAGGGUCAAACGAGUGAUUGUGUCAAUAUCCAACAAGAACACGACCACUUUAGAAGUGUCCAUUCCAUUCAAGAACGGACAAUCAUGGCCGUGAUAACAUCUCUAAGUUUCUACUUUAAUCAUUCAUGUUAAUCUUCCCCUUCUGAAAAGGAAAACAUCUUUACCUUCUGUCAUAUAGGUAAGUUCCAGGUUUGCGGAACUGCUCUUUGCUUGCAAGUAAUUGUUUCAUGACAACAAGCUUGUUUAACGCUUCCAAAUUCUUGAGCAUACCAUCUUUAUUACAUGAAGUGUUAACUUUCCAUUUUGGGCAUUCAAGUCGAUAAAGUGAUUUAAUUUUAAUUUGAAUAGAAUGAGAAAAACACAUGUUACACUACUUGAUCGAUUAGUGUUUGGCUUUGUGUCUAAUGCUCUCUUCGUUGACUGGGAAGGUGAGGAAGUAUCGUGCCUGAAUUUUAUCAAGCUGUCAUUACUAUUUAAUUCAAUGGAGAAGUGGUUUACCAGUUUAUCCUCAGUAUGUACUUUGUAGUUUGCAAAGACUGAACAAAAGGUGAUCUAUCAAAAAUUCUACAGAAAAAGCCUAACUUUCCUUUGAAGGUACUGUUUGCUGUUUUUCUUGAGUAACUACUUGAGCAGAGAGAGACCAACACUACUUUUAUUUACUGAGCGUACCCUAAGAUGCAUAAGGCCAAAACAGUAAAACUAGAAUAUACCGAGUUAUAUUAAAAACCAGGAAGAUGGAUUCAAAACACAAAGAGCCGUACUAGCUUUUCUUCAAAAGGAAAAAAGGGAACAAACAGCAUAAUGCGCAAGGUACAAUAUAAGCCAAGCAGCAGUAAAUCAUUAGUUCGGUAGUUCCCUUACCCUUGUCUUCUGCCCCAAGUAAGCUGGACUGCUUUCUCUCUCGCUUAUAUUUUAGCAGCAGAGGUACAUAAUAUACACACGUACAUUAUACGUACAGAUUUACAUAUAUAUCAUUUGCUGGUUACAAAAUUCUACAGAUAUGGUGGAUGGUGAUAGACAUGUUCCGGGACGAAUAAUUUUGCCGUUGCUUACAUUAGCGGAAUUGCUCUUUGGAUGAAUUAUUAUGGGUUUUUGGGUAAAAGACCGAGAAGUAAUGUUCGUCGAUUAAUCAAAAAGUAUUUGGUGCCCCUUUGUUUUGCAGAGGUAUGUGCAAAAUCUGAUUUUGAUGGUGUCUUGUGGAAACAAAUUGGCAAGAUUUUAAAAAAGAGUCGUAGUAAUCUUUAAAUUUCCAUAAAGGAAAAAAAAACUUUGAAUUUUGUUUAUUAGUUCUUUUUCUGGAAUAACAUGACUUCUAUAAAAUUUCUCCUUAAAGAUUCUUGCUGGAACUUGUAAUGCAAUUAGGUUCAUGGUGCAAAGGAGGAUUACUUCGGUCAACUACCAGAUGAUGUUUUGAUUUCCAUUCUCGCACAUUUGACAGUAAUAGACUCUAUGCCUACAUUAGAAUUCGAACCCCUUGGCAGGUUUGGGAUUGACUCUUGGGAUCACAGUUGUUGCCCUUACGAUCAGCAAAAAUCCUUGAAAGAACAGUUAUUACAGCUUUAUUCGGGUCGUAAAGUGGCUAAUGUUGAGAUGACCUUUUGCUGUGGUAAAAAGUUUUUUAGGGAAUUUGACCAAUGGAUGCAUUCUAUUUCAAGAUUAGGUGUUGAAAGACUACGUCUUUCAUUUGAUUGUGGCACUGAUCACCCCAUCUACAACUCCAAUCCCAUACGCAACCCCAACAAAUUGUUUAAAUUUUCUCUUGAGCUUCUCUCUCAGGCAUCCUCAUUGAAGCACCUGUAUUUAUACCAUUGCAUUAUCCAACCAAGUUCCGGAGUCCGUCUUAAUUCCCUUAGGACCCUUACUUUGAACGGUGUUCUGUUAGCAAGUGGACAGCUUGAGAGUGUUUUUCCUCUUGUUUGAAUCUUAACCAGUUAGAGCUAGCAUGUAGCAAACUUCCUUGUAAGCUAUGCAUCUCUGGCACAGUGACAUCCGUUUUUUUUCUUAGCUUGUGGCGGAUUGGAAGAGAUUGAUCUUCGGGCUAAAAAUCUUCGUCGGUUUGAGUGUUUUUUUUAGCAAAGUAAGAUUUUAUUCUUUUGUUCCCAUGUUGGAAAUUGUAAUGAUUAAUUUUAACGAAGUCGAUGCAAUGCCAUACAUAUUUGGUGAUUUUGCAAGAGAUUUACCUGCUCAAGUUAAAUCUUUAACAGUCAAAGUGGGUUAUUCUCAGGUAUCUGAUGAUGUCUUGUCUUCUCAAAUUCCUUUGGUCUUUGUCUUUUUGAAGAUCCUGAUCAAUUAAAGCAUUCUUUAUUUCAGAUAAAACACUUCCCAACCGAGAGAAAGAUGUUCAGAAACCUUAGGGAGCUAACCUUGGUACUUGUGUUCACGUACGACUUUGACAUAGUCAAAAUUCCCCCUCUCUUAGGCGCUUGUCCUCUUCUUCGACAUUUGGAUUUAGUCCAAUCGAGGACAACAAGGGGAGAAAGAGGAAGUGACAUAAGGCCUCCUUUAUCUCCUACAUGUCACACUAAGCUAAAAGAAGUGACAUUCGGUGGAUUUCAUAGAUCCGAAGCAGAGAUUGAAUUUGCUGUUUAUAUUCUGAGAAGUGCAAUGGUACUUGAACGAAUGGUUCUCGCCCCAUGUUUUAGUUGUUAUUCUGGUAGUGGUACAUGGGAGAAAAUGUUCGAUUUUUCACUCGAUGAAAGAAAACGCAACUCAAUCCAACCAGAACUACAUGGGCAAGCUAUCUCUAGGAAGGCUGUGGUGAUCAUCCAAUAGGUUUUUGUACAAAUACUAUAUCAGAUCUCUACUGUCGUCAGUGGUGCAUGUAAACUUGUCGAGGUUAUGGAAGUAUCUAUUUAUUGGUUAUUGCUAAACAAAGACUAUAUUUCAUGAUUUUUGAUGGUAGUAGGUUCAUGCUUCAAUGAAGAGGCAUUAUCUGUUUGUGCUGCAUUUUCUUUUGUACCCUUAGAAUGGCUGGUUGGCCCAGAUGCUCGUGUAAUUAUGUGAACCGUAUAAUGCUAUUA